UCUUUAACUGCCUCUGGGCUAGCGCUGACCCCGAAAGCAAACAGGAAUAGGAUUCCAGGGGAAGGGACACUCCACCUGGGGGCCACCUGGAGUGGGCCUCGGGUAGGGGUGGGGGCAGGUGGGAAGGCUCUACCUCAGGGCCCAGCAGGCAGCCGGGCUGAUGGUGGAGAAGGCCACUGGGUUCCCAGUUCCGGGCCCUGUGGCCCCCAAGGCAGAGGCAGAUUUCAGGGCCAGAGCCCAAAGCCCAGCAGGGGUUGGGGGCAGGGGCUGCGGCUGGGGCUGAGGUCCCCACCACAGCCAGAGGGCAAAGGCAUCCCGGCAGAAGGCAGGGGAGGGGGCGCUUCCUCCAGAAAUCCGCUGGGCUAUUGUUACACUUUCCGAGGCCAGGGAAUAUUUCCAGGAGGUUGUGACAACCAAAAAAAAAAUAAUAAUAACGCCCCUCCCCCAGCAGCAGGAAUUCUGGAAAAAACAGCUGCUGCUGUGUUCGGGCCGAGAAAAAAACCAGGUCAGGCGCCGCGGAGAUCUAAUUUAAGGCGCGCACCGCCCUGGCUGCCCGGGUGCGGGGUUCGGGCCCAGAGGCUCCAGCCCCAGCCUGGGGCGCAUCCAGGCCGCCGGGUCCAGGCCGCCCACGGGGCCCUGGGGGAAGGGAAGGGGGCUGUGCCCCGGGAGGCUGGGACGAGCAGGGUGCUCAAGGAAGCACCCAGUACGUGGGGGAACGGGCAGGGCCCGCUAACGGGAAGCCCAGGGCGCGGGCUCCGGGCGGGCCGGCUGGGCCUGGAGGCUCCCCGGGCUGCCCCCCACCCCGGCCGCUCGGGCCCGCGGGGCAGGGCGCCGAGGGUCCCGCGAGCCCCGGUCUCUGGGGAGCGCAGGCGGGUGGCACGCGGUGGCACGGCCGGGCCUGCUCGGUCCCCAGGGUCCCCGCGGGCCCUGCCGGGCGGGGGGGCGCGUUUGCCCGCGUGGACGGCCCGAGACUCCGGAGCCCGUGCUGCGCUCUCGACACCGCGAAGGACCCAGAGGAGCUGGGGGGAAAGGGCGCCGAGUGCGCGGUACCGGGUGGCGCCGGCGGGAGAGGCCACGGGGGACACAGGGCGGCAGCUCCCGCCGCUCCUCCCCUGCUCCCCCCGCCCCCGCCCGGGUGUGAGUUCCUGUCUCUGGGGCAGAAAUCAACAAACAAACAAUUCUCGGUAUUUCCCAAACUGGGGAGCCGGGGAGUGGGAAGGAAGGAUGGGGGUGGGGGGGAGACAGGGUCGAACCCGUUGUGUGUGUGUUUUUUUCUUUUUUACUUUAAAAAAUUAUAUAUUUUAUGUCACAAUCACUUUUCGUUAA
rnacentral:lncRNA from 1 species